AGUUUCGAUCAAUCUGUUGUUCUCCUGGGAUACAUUUUGUGCAAAAAUAGACAUUGGUAUUUUACCAACAUGCCUCGCACAUAUAAGUCGGAUCCAAGAGGUAAA